ACAGAUUUUUAAAGCUGCAGUGUACCACAAUUCUGUGCAUGUCUUCACUAAACUUUAAAUUCUGUUUCUUUACUCCCACAAUUUAGCCUCCUGUAGAGAACACUUUGUUUUAUUCAUUUUUAUGUUGACUGUGUCAAUCAGUUUUGUUUGAUUUCCCCAAAGGCAGCUUUUAACUAAGGAUAAGGACAGGUUAAGCCUCCUUGAAAAAUGCAAGCCACUUGGCUCCUGUGACAAAUUGUAGCAGAAGAAGGCCUUGUUUGCAGGAUCCUGGACCAUUUCACACUUUCUGGACUCAGUUCAACAAUGUAUUCUGGGUCAAAGCAUGUUACUGGCUGAAAGCAGGUCAGUCAAUGGAGAAAGCAGCUGGUUGGAAUAGAAGAUUAUUGAAGGGAUGUGAGUCUGGAGGAGGGUGAUUGUAAAAUACAGGAAUUAACAGAACUCUUCUCUCAUCCCAAACUCCACAGAGGGGUCAGGAGCAUCAGUCUUUAUAGCACUUACUCACAAGUCCCUCUUACAGUCUGUCUGAGCAGAGAAUGCAUAAACAAGGUGUCAAGAUGUAUGAGUUGUGGUCUUUUGCAGUAAGAACUUGCUUCAUAUUAAAACUGCCUUUUUACCUGUAUAUGUUAAAGAGCUCUGUGGCAACUUGUUGCGAAAGGCACUAUACUAAAUAAAGAUUUGAUUGAUU